rnacentral:rRNA from 1 species
AUUGAACGCUGGCGGCAGGCCUAACACAUGCAAGUCGAACGAGUGGCGGACGUGUGAGUAAUGUCUGGGAAACUGCCUGAUGGAGGGGGAUAACUACUGGAAACGGUAGCUAAUACCGCAUACCAUCGGAUGUGCCCAGAUGGGAUUAGCUAGUAGGUGGGGUAAAGGCUCACCUAGGCGACGAUCCCUAGCUGGUCUGAGAGGAUGACCAGACACAUUGGAACUGAGACACGGUCCAGAAUCCGACGGGAGGCAGCAGUGGGGAAUAUUGCACAAUGGGCGCAAGCCUGAUGCAGCCAUGCCGCGUGUAUGAAGAAGGCCUUCGGGUUGUAAAGUACUUUCAGCGAGGAGGCGUUACUCGCAGAAGAAGCACCGGCUAACUCCGUGCCAGCAGCCGCGGUAAUAC